rnacentral:ncRNA from 1 species
UUGCUAGGGGAGCGUAAUGCUGAGAAACGCAGAUCGGAAGAUCUGCUGUAGACCCUUAAAACUUGAACCGGAUAAUACCGGCGGAAGGAAGCGCAU